UCUUCUGUAUGCUGAUGAUUGUAUCAG
rnacentral:misc_RNA from 1 species